rnacentral:rRNA from 1 species
CGGGUAGAGUAACGCGUGAGUAACCUGCCUCAUACAACGGGAUACCUGAGGGAAACUUCAGUUAAUACGGUAUAAGACCACACUGCCGCAUGGCAGAGGGGUAAAAGGAGCAAUCCGGUAUGAGAUGGACUCGCGUCGCAUUAGCUAGUUGGUGAGGUAACGGCCCACCAAGGCGACGAUGCGUAGCCGACCUGAGAGGGUGAUCGGCCACAUUGGGACUGAGAUACGGCCCAGACUCCUACGGAAGGCAGCAG